UACGUAGGGGGCUAGCGUUGUCCGGAAUCAUUGGGCGUAAAGCGCGUGUAGGCGGUCCGGUAAGUCCGCUGUGAAAGUCGGGGGCUCAACCCUCGGAUGCCGGUGGAUACUGUCGGGCUUGAGUACGGAAGAGGCGAGUGGAAUUCCUGGUGUAGCGGUGAAAUGCGCAGAUAUCAGGAGGAACAUCCGUGGCGAAGGCGGCUCUCUGGGACGGUACUGACGCUGAGACGCGAAAGCGUGGGGAGCGAACAGG
rnacentral:rRNA from 1 species